rnacentral:rRNA from 1 species
GACGAACGCUGGCGGCGUGCCUAAUACAUGCAAGUAGAACGCAGUUGCGAACGGGUGAGUAACGCGUAUGUAACUGCCUCAUAGCGGGGGAUAACUAAUGGAAACGUUAGCUAAUACCGCAUCCUUUGAGCUGGAUCUGCGUUGUAUUAGCGAGUUGGUGAGGGAAAGGCUCACCAAGGCGACGAUAAAUAGCCGACCUGAGAGGGUGAUCGGCCACACUGGGACUGAGACACGGUCCAGACUCCUACGGGAGGCAGCAGUGGGGAAUAUUGCACAAUGGGCGAAAGCCUGAUGCAGCCAUGCCGCGUGUAUGAAGAAGGUCUUCGGGUUGUAAAGUACUUUCAGCGGGGAGGCGUUACCCGAAGAAGAAGCACCGGCUAACUCCGUGCCAGCAGCCGCGGUAAUAC